GGGGAUGUGGCUUUGCUGGUAGAGUGCCUGCCUAAUGUACACACAAGGGCCUGGGUUUGAUCCCCAGCUUCCCCU
rnacentral:tRNA from 1 species